rnacentral:rRNA from 1 species
CAGCAGCCACGGGAACACGAAGGGUGCAAGCGUUACUCGGAAUUACUGGGCGUAAAGCGUGCGUAGGUGGUGGUUUAAGUCCGUUGUGAAAGCCCUGGGCUCAACCUGGGAAUUGCAGUGGAUACUGGGUCACUAGAGUGUGGUAGAGGAUAGUGGAAUUUCCGGUGUAGCAGUGAAAUGCGUAGAGAUCGGAAGGAACAUCUGUGGCGAAGGCGACUAUCUGGGCCAACACUGACACUGAGGCACGAAAGCGUGGGGAGCAAACAGGAUUAGAUACCCCAGUAGUCCCUGUCUCUUAUAU